rnacentral:lncRNA from 1 species
UGGGGAGUUAGCACCAGCUUCCAAGAGGGGCGGAGUCAUUUUGGGAAGAGGAAAACCGUAUGAGUCAAGAGCCAAUAAUUCUGUAUUUGAGAUCUCAAAGAUUUCUCUAGGCCCUUGCAAAGCUUGUAGGCCCCAGCUACUGUUACCAUGGAGCCUGAUAGAUGAAACAGCCCUAGUGGACGAGAAGGACGGUUGUUCCUCUGCUGGGCAGAUGAGGAAUCUGAAGCUGGACAGGGGAAAGGACGUGGAGAAAGUCGCACAGCAGAGCAGGAGCUCAAAGAGUUUUGUCAGACACCAAGGACCCAGUCUUUCCUAGAAAGUUUGCAAAGCCCUGCCUCCUUGGUAGAUUUCCUUUCUGCUCUCCUGCAAGUGCCCUGCUGAGCCUCUGGGUAGACCUGACUGGGUUGCCCCUUCGUUGCCAAGGACGGAUCAUCUUGCUGGGCUUUCCCAGGGGCAUUAAUGAAACAGCUCCUGUGGUUGCAGCCACACAAAGCACAGUCAAGAUGGAAGUGAUUGCUGUCAUCGCUCAUGGUGGAAGUAGCGGUCCUGGAAACAUUACAGGAUGCUCUCAGAGAAUGCUGCUGUCACAAAGGAAUGAAACGAAUGGACAGUGCGAGGAAGCAUCCAUGAACCAAAAGCUCAAAGAUCCCUGCCUUUAAGAGCUGCCAUUCCAGUGGGGAGAAACAGAUAAGUGUCAUAAAUAAGUAAAUAAUAUAGAAUGUAAAAAAAAAUUACAAAUCACAAUGCGAUCCCAUUUCACAUCCACUAGGAUGGCUAUAAUAAAAAAGACAGACAAAAACACAUUGUGGCAGGGAUGUGGAGAAAUCAGAAUCCUCAUACACUGCUGGUGGGACGUAAAAUGGGACAGCCACUUUAGAAAAGUUCCUGAAAAAGUUAAACAUGGAGUUACCAUAUGAUCCAGAAAUUCUACUCCUACUUAUAGACCCAAGAGAUUGAAAAUAUGUCUACACAAAAACUUGUCACAACUAUUCAUAGCAGCAUUAGUCAUGAUAGCCAAAAAGUGGGAACAACCCAAAUGUUCAUCAACUGAUGAAUGGAUAAAUAAAAUGUGGUAUAUCUAUGCAAUAGAAUAUUAUUCAGGCAAAAAAACUAAUCAAGUAUUGACAUAUAAUACAACAUGGAUGAACCUUAAAAACAUUACGCUAAGUGAAAAAAGCUAGACCCAAAAGACCACACACUGUAUCAUUCAAUUUAUAUGAAAUGUCCAUAAUAGGCAAAUCCAUACAGACAGAAAGUAAAUCACUGGUUACCAGGGGCCGAGAGAAGGGGGAAUUGGAGAGUGACUGCUACUGGGUCCAGAUUUUCUUUUGGGGAUGACGAAACUGUUCUGGAAUUAGCUAGCAGUGACACUGGCACAACUUUGUGAAUAUCCUAAAAAUCACUUAAUUGUACACUUUAAAAGCGUUAUUUUAUGGUAUAGGAAUUAUUUCAAUUUUUUUAAAAAAGGGUUAUGGUUGCUAUGAAAUAAAAGAAAAAAUAGAACAGGUUAGGGGUAUAUGGAGUGAGUCAGGCAGGCAGGUUGCAAUUUUAAAUAGAGUGGUCAAAAUAGUUCUGAGAAGAGAACAUUUAGGCAAGAAUUUGGAAGGGGUAUGGGAGAUAGUCGUGUGAUCAUGAGGCAGAGGUCUUCCAGGCAAAGCAGAGAAGCAGCGCGCAGGAGGGAGCGUGCCUUUGGUGGUUGGGGAACAAGAAGAGGCCUGUGUGGCUAGAGUGAAGGAAAUAAGGCGGUGGGGAGCGGUGCAGUCAGAUCCUGUUGGGUCUUGUAGGCCAUUAUCAGGACUUUGGCUUUUACCCUGAGUGAAAUGGGGAUCCACUGAAGGAUGUUGAGCAGAGGAGUGACCUGAUCUACCUUAUAGUUUAAAGGAUUACUCUGGCUGCUGUGCUGAGAAGCAUAAUAAUUGUUAUCAAUUAGGAGCCAAGAUCUGCUCUGGCAUGAAGCACU